AUCAACUACAGAAAGUGGUUGGUUGGAGUCAUGGCAGCUAAAGGUGGACUGAUCAACUACAGGAAGUGGUUGGUUGGAGUCGUUGCAGCUAAAGGUGGACUGAUCAACUACAGGAAGUGUUUGGUUGGAGUCGUUGCAGCUAAAGGUGGACUGAUCAACAACUACAGGAAGUGGUUGGUUGGAGUCGUUGCAGCUAAAGGUGGACUGAUCAACUACAGGAAGUGUUUGGUUGGAGUCGUUGCAGCUAAAGGUGGACUGAUCAACUACAGGAAGUGUUUGGUUGGAGUCGUUGCAGCUAAAGGUGGAAUGAUCAACUACAGGAA
ensembl:lncRNA